UACGUAGGGGGCAAGCGUUGUCCGGAAUUACUGGGCGUAAAGCGCACGUAGGCGGCUUUGCAAGUCGGAUGUGAAAUCCCUCGGCUUAACCAAGGAAGUGCAUCCGAAACUGCAGAGCUUGAGUACUUAAGAGGAUCGCGGAAUUCCCGGUGUAGAGGUGAAAUUCGUAGAUAUCGGGAGGAACACCAGUGGCGAAGGCGGCGAUCUGGGAAGAUACUGACGCUGAGGUGCGAAAGCGUGGGGAGCAAACAGG
rnacentral:rRNA from 1 species